rnacentral:rRNA from 1 species
GAUGAACGCUGGCGGCGUGCCUAAUACAUGCAAGUCGAGCGAACGGACGAGAAGCUUGCUUCUCUGAUGUUAGCGGCGGACGGGUGAGUAACACGUGGCUAACCUAUCUAUAAGACUGGGCUAACUUCGGGAAACCGGAGCUAAUACCGGAUGAUAUUUUGAACCGCAUGGUUCAAAAGUGAAAGACGGUCUUGCUGUCACUUAUAGAUGGAUCCGCGCUGCAUUAGCUAGUUGGUAAGGUAACGGCUUACCAAGGCAACGAUGCAUAGCCGGCCUGAGAGGGUGAUCGUGCACACUGUAACUGAGACACGGUCCAGACUCCUACGGGAGGCAGCAGUAGGGAAGCUUCCGCAAUGGGCGAAGGCCUGACGGAGCAGCGCCGCGUGAGUGAUGAAGGUCUUCGGAUCGUAAAACUCUGUUAUUAGGGAAGAACAUAUGUGUAAGUAACUGUGCACAUCUUGACGGUACCUAAUCAGAAAGCCACGGCUAACUACGUG